rnacentral:rRNA from 1 species
ACACGACUACAUUAGAUACCCCUGUAGUCCUAGCCGUAAACGAUACUCGCUAGGUGUCGGCCACGGUGCGACCGUUGUCGGUGCCGUAGGGAAACCGUGAAACGUGCCGCCUGGGAAGUACGGUCGCAAGGCUGAAACUUAAAGGAAUUGGCGGGGAGCACCACAACGGGUGGAGCCUGCGGUUUAAUUGGACUCAACGCCGGGAAGCUCACCGGAUAAGACAGCGGAAUGAUUGCCGGGCUGAAGACUCUGCAUGACUAGCUG